rnacentral:rRNA from 1 species
GAUGAACGCUGGCGGCGUGCUUAAUACAUGCAAGUCGAACGAAGUCAGUAGCAAUAUUGGCUGAGUGGCGAACGGGUGAGUAACGCGUUGGUGACCUGCCCCGAAGAGAGGGAUAACAGUUCGAAAGGAUUGCUAAUACCCCAUGUGGUCAUUUGGAUUAGAUGCCUUAUGACUAAACGGAUUUAUUCGCUUCGGGAGGGCCUGCGUCCCAUCAGCUAGUUGGUAGGGUAAUGGCCUACCAAGGCGAUGACGGGUAGGGGACCUGAGAGGGUGGCCCCCACAAUGGACGUAGAACAACGGUCCACUACACCUACCGGGUGGCUG